CUCGGCAACGGAUAUCUUGGCUCUCGCAUCGAUGAAGAACGCAGCAAAAUGCCAUACUUGGUGUGAAUUGCAGAAUCCCGUGAACCAUCAAGUUUUUGAACGCAAGUUGCGCCCGAAGCCAUUAUGCUGAGGGCACGUCUGCCUGGGCGUCACGCACAA
rnacentral:rRNA from 1 species